rnacentral:rRNA from 1 species
UACGUAGGGGGCAAGCGUUGUCCGGAAUUAUUGGGCGUAAAGCGUGCGCAGGCGGUUCGUUAAGUUCGUUGUGAAAGCCCCGGGCUCAACCUGGGAACUGCAAUGGAAACUGGCGGGCUUGAAUGCGGCAGAGGGGGGUGGAAUUCCGCGUGUAGCAGUGAAAUGCGUAGAGAUGCGGAGGAACACCGAUGGCGAAGGCAGCCCCCUGGGCCGACAUUGACGCUCAGGCACGAAAGCGUGGGGAGCAAACAGG